rnacentral:snRNA from 1 species
AUGAUCACUUUCUCAGUAUCCAUACUAAUAUUAGAAAAAUACAGAGGAAGCUAGCAUGUUCCCUAUGCAAGGAUAACAUGUAAAAUCAUUAAAUAUUUCAUAUUUUU